rnacentral:rRNA from 1 species
AGUGAACGCUGGCGGUAGGCCUAACACAUGCAAGUCGAACGGCAGCACAGUAAGAGCUUGCUCUUACGGGUGGCGAGUGGCGGACGGGUGAGGAAUAUAUCGGAAUCUACUUUUUCGGGGGGGUUAACGAAGGGAAACUUACGCUAAUACCGCAUACGACCUACGGGUGAAAGCAGGGGAUAUUCGCACCUUGCGCGAUUGAAUGAGCCGAUGUCGGAGUAGCUAGUUGGCGGGGUAAAGGCCCACCAAGGCGACGAUCCGUAGCCAGUCUGAGAGGAUGAUCAGCCGCACGGGAGCGGGGACAGGGUCCAGACUCCUGCGGGAGGCAGCAGUGGGGAAUGGUAGACAGUGGUCGCGAGCCUGGUACAACCAGACCGAGUGGGUGGAGGAGGCCUUCGGGUUGUAAAGCCGUUUUGUUGGGAAAGAAAAGCAGCAGGUUAAGACCCAGCUGUUGUGACGGUACCCAAAGAAUAAGCACCGGCUAACUUCGUG